ensembl:lncRNA
GCCUGACUGAAGAAGACGAUCUUGCCAUGUCCACUGAUGUUAACAGGGAGGCCGUAUUCCAGGCGACAAAGGUUCGAACCCAUCUGAAACAAGAUGGAAGCUGGAUCAACAGAUCUAAAAAUGUUGAGGACACACAGUCAGAUGUAAAAGCAAGUAAACCAAUAAAGCAAGGAAAACCUAAAAAUGUUUCAUCACCUGAAAGCAGUUCGGUCUCUUCCUCCGUCAUGCCAUGUGCAGAGAGUACCACCACCUCCUCCAGCCUGGACUCGUCCACACCCCCUCAAAGCUCUUAUGUCGUGUCAGCCUUAAGGAAGUUUGAUGCACAUCCUGUCCUUGAGGACCCCAGGAGAGCACAUGUAGAGAAAGCAGUGGAGACAUCCAUAGCCAAAGCCACAGAGCAACCACUGAAGACACCAGCAGAUGCUUCUGUAAAGGACAUAGUGGAAAAACCAAUCGCUAUACCUGAAGACGAACCAUUGAAGACACAUGCAGAUGUUUCUGUAAAGGACAUAAUGGAGAAACCUACAAAUAAACCUGUAGAGGAACCAAUGAAGAUGCAUGCAGACGCUCCUAAAUUGGAUGUAGUGGAGAAACCUAUAGAGGAACCAUUGAAGACACAUGCAGACACUCCUAAAACAGACAUAGUGGAGAAACCUGUUAAAGAACCAUUGAAGACACAUGCAGACACUCCUAAAAUGUGCGUAGUGGAGAAUAUAAUUAAACCUGUAGAGGAACCAUUGAAGACACCUACAGAUGUUCCUGUAAAGAACAUAGUGGAGAAACCUGCAGAGAGACACACAGAGACUGUAGAGGGAACAAGGAAGACACCUGUAGAUGGAGCUUCAACAAAUCAAACACAAUCCAGUGGAGCGCUGCAGGAGAAAACAGUCAAAACCCUACAUGAGAACCCAGCAAAGCCUUCACUGACUACAGAGAAUAAAGAGGAUGAUACAGUUGAACAAGUCUCAAUAGCACAUGCACCUGUAGUAGAGGCUCUACUCGAACCCAGACAGGUAGAAAACCAGCCUACAAGUGAACAUGGGGAACUUUCACUAGUAUCUGCUCUGGAAACUCCAACUACAGAGUCAUCAACUAGAUCAACUACAGAACCAACCGAAGAACCCCGUGUGGCAGCCCUGGAAGAGAACCACAGACUGAACAGUCAAGCUCAAUUGAAUGUCAGAGGUAAAACCAUGUGUUCCUUCUGCAAGCUGCCCAUAGAUGGAAAUGUGAAAAUCUCCAUCAACAUUCCUGCCAUUUGCUGCCAUCCGGAUUGUUUAAAGUGUAAUGGUUGCAGCAGUCCUCUGGGCGAUCUCUCUUCAUCUAUGUACCACUAUGCUGGGAAAAUCCUCUGCGAGAAAUGCUUUGAUCGAAUCUUCCAGCUCUGAUGACUCAUCCUACUGCAACCUACUCCACUACAACUCAUCACCAUAACACCCAAGCACAUCUCAGUGUCUACCAGCAAGUUUACCAAAAAAAAAAAAAAAAAAAAAAAAAAAAAAAAAAAAUCAGUCUUUAUCAGUAGAGGAUCUGCUGUCGUAGGUUUAUUGCACAUAAAUUCAACAACAUUUUUCAGUAAAUGGUCAUGCUGUGUGUGCAUGUCUUCCUAUAUACUAACAAAAUUCCCCAUGAGGUUUAAUAGGUUUUAAUUAUUUCUCUUUCUGAUCAAUAUAUUCCUUGUUUUCUUCUAACAAGUCACUGUUUCUAAUGUAAAAUAAGCUUAAAGAAGAAGAUUGCUUCCAGAAUGAAAAUUUCCUGAUAAUUUACUUAUCCCUAUGUCAUCCAAGAUGUUCACUUCUUUCUUUCUUCAGUCGAAAAUAAAUUAAGAUUUUUAAGUGAAAAAAUUCCA